CCAACUCCGCCGCCGACUUACCCGCCCGCCUGAAAAACACCGUCCCGUUGAAAUCCUGCAGGAAGGCAUCCCACACGCCCAAAUCAGCCCUCAUGGUUGCUGACACCCGUAUGAAAUGAUGCGGGGAUCGAACUCCUGCCGUAGCAGCCGCCAGGCUGCGGCUGAAAACCCUCCCCAUAGGAAUUACACGGCAUGCAAAGUUCAGCAUCCCUAUUAG